UCUUCUUCUUCUUCUACUUCUUCCCCACCCCACACACCACCAACCCCCACCCACACCCCCACACCCCCACCCACCCCACCACAAGCAAAUGAUGGUGGCUUCCAUUUUCUGUCUUGCAAUAACUUGAAGUCUUGCAUUUGAUUGUUUCCUGUAUACCAAAAUGAUCUAUUUUGUUGAAGUGCUGAAAUGCUUUAUAAAAUUGUAAAGAGGU
rnacentral:misc_RNA from 1 species